AUCUAGCUGAUGAGUCCAGAGUAGGACGAAACGCGCGUCCAGGAU
rfam:Schistosoma mattheei strain Denwood, Zambia genome assembly, scaffold: SMTD_scaffold0000122